CGGGGGCUUCGGCCUGCCGGCGAGUGGCGAACGGGUGAGUAAUGCAUCGGAACGUGCCCAGUCAUGGGGGAUAACUACGCGAAAGCGUAGCUAAUACCGCAUACGCCCUGAGGGGGAAAGUGGGGGAUCUUCGGACCUCACGUGAUUGGAGCGGCCGAUGUCAGAUUAGCUAGUUGGUGAGGUAAAGGCUCACCAAGGCGACGAUCUGUAGCGGGUCUGAGAGGAUGAUCCGCCACACUGGGACUGAGACACGGCCCAGACUCCUACGGGAGGCAGCAGUGGGGAAUUUUGGACAAUGGGCGCAAGCCUGAUCCAGCCAUGCCGCGUGAGUGAAGAAGGCCUUAGGGUUGUAAAGCUCUUUCGCAAGGGAAGAAAACGUGUGGGCUAAUAUCCUGCGCGGAUGACGGUACCUUGACAAGAAGCACCGGCUAACUACGUGCCAGCAGCCGCGGUAAUACGUAGGGUGCGAGCGUUAAUCGG
rnacentral:rRNA from 1 species